rnacentral:rRNA from 1 species
AUACGUAGGGGGCGAGCGUUGUCCGGAAUGAUUGGGCGUAAAGGGCGCGUAGGCGGCGCGGUAAGUCUGGAGUGAAAGUCCUGCUUUCAAGGUGGGAAUUGCUUUGGAUACUGCCGCGCUUGAGUGCAGGAGAGGUUAUCGGAAUUCCCGGUGUAGCGGUGAAAUGCGUAGAGAUCGGGAGGAACACCAGUGGCGAAGGCGGGUAACUGGACUGCAACUGACGCUGAGGCGCGAAAGCGUGGGGAGCGAACAGGAUUAGAUACCCUGGUAGUCCACACUGUAAACGAUGAAUGCUAGGUGUAGGGGGUAUCGACCCCUUCUGUGCCGCAGUCAACACAAUAAGCAUUCCGCCUGGGGAGUACGGCCGCAAGGUUGAAACUCAAAUGAAUUGACGGGG